CGUGUAGGCGGUCUGCUAAGUCUGAUGUGAAAGCCCGGGGCUCACCCUCGGAAGUGCAUUGGAAACUGACAGACUGGAGUCCCGGAGAGGAGGGUGGAAUUCCUGGUGUAGCGGUGAAAUGCGUAGAUAUCAGGAGGAACACCGGUGGCGAAGGCGGCCCUCUGGACGGUGACUGACGCUGAGACGCGAAAGCGUGGGAGCAAACA
rnacentral:rRNA from 1 species